AUGGCUUUCCACCUAAGAUCGAUAAGUUUGCCUUCUAGGCCUCACCCCACCGAGACCGAGAUUGAAGAAGAGAUGUUGAGCCUAGAGGCAAGCAUCUCUUCCUCCACGACCAUUGGCACAAUGUGCGAGGGUCCGGGGAGGCUUGGUGACAUCUAUAAUGGCGUUGAAGAGAUCAUCUGCCUUCCAAGCAGCCAAGUCUGUGCCUACCAGCAGAAGAAGUUCUUGCAUGGAGAAAUGGACGGUUCUUUCGAGCUGCUAGAUCUAUGUGGCACCAUGCAAGAGUCUUCGCCGAGAUGA
rnacentral:rRNA from 1 species